rnacentral:rRNA from 1 species
UGGGGAAUAUUGCACAAUGGGCGCAAGCCUGAUGCAGCCAUGCCGCGUGUAUGAAGAAGGCCUUCGGGUUGUAAAGUACUUUCAGUCGGGAGGAAGGUGGUAAGGUUAAUAACCUUAUCAAUUGACGUUACCGACAGAAGAAGCACCGGCUAACUCCGUGCCAGCAGCCGCGGUAAUACGGAGGGUGCAAGCGUUAAUCGGAAUUACUGGGCGUAAAGCGCACGCAGGCGGUUGAUUGAGUCAGAUGUGAAAUCCCCGGGCUUAACCCGGGAAUUGCAUCUGAUACUGGUCAGCUAGAGUCUUGUAGAGGGGGGUAGAAGUCCAUGUGUAGCGGUGAAAUGCGUAGAGAUGUGGAGGAAUACCGGUGGCGAAGGCGGCCCCCUGGACAAAGACUGACGCUCAGGUGCGAAAGCGUGGGGAGCAAACAGG